UCUUCAUUUUGACAAGCACGCAGAAAGUCACGCGAUAAAUGAGCAGGAAGCUCGGCCGUUGCAACAUUAUCACACAUGUUAAUGUUAUAACUUGUUGGGGUUCAUAUGUUGAAGUGACGACCGAAGUUGUUUGGUCGCUUUAUGGUAACACUUUCGACAGUUGAUAUUAGUAUCAGCCUGAAGAGGACCCGAUCUGUGGUCGAAACGUUGCUGUACUAAUAAAGGAACAUCAUCAUUAAUACUCGAUUUUACGACAAUAACAGAUGUGUGCUGUCACCAAACGACUAGCCGCACAAACUCACCAGAUCGAUGAAAGUGCUGUUCUUGCACGACAACAUUUACAUUUGAAUAUCGUGGCCUUACUUACUGGCAAUCGAGAGGAACUUUUUGAGGCAUAAAAAAUACAAAAUGUGCAUGCACACACAACACACACACACACAC